rnacentral:rRNA from 1 species
AUUGAACGCUGGCGGCAUGCUUUACACAUGCAAGUCGAACGGCAGCGCGGGCUUCGGCCUGGCGGCGAGUGGCGAACGGGUGUGUAAUGCAUCGGAACGUGCCCAGUAGUGGGGGAUAGCCCGGCGAAAGCCGGAUUAAUACCGCAUACGACCUGAGGGUGAAAGCGGGGGACCGAAAGGCCUCGCGCUCUUGGAGCGGCCGAUGUCGGAUUAGCUAGUUGGUGGGGUAAAGGCUUACCAAGGCGACGAUCCGUAGCUGGUCUGAGAGGACGACCAGCCACACUGGGACGGAGACACGGCCCAGACUCCUACGGGAGGCAGCAGUGGGGAAUUUUGGACAAUGGGGGCAACCCUGAUCCAGCCAUGCCGCGUGCGGGAAGAAGGCCUUCGGGUUGUAAACCGCUUUUGUUCGGGAAGAAAUCCUCUGGGCUAAUACCCCGGGGGGAUGACGGUACCGGAAGAAUAAGCACCGGCUAACUACGUG